UCAGAAUAGAGGGUGGCAAGAAACACUGCAUUGUCUAUUCCAUCCGACAUGGCCAGAGUUUCUCCGGCAAGGGUGCUUCGCACCACACGUCGAAUUCUCUUGGACUGCCAGAAAAGGGGGGAGAAUUUACCUCCUUUUCCCAUUGGGGUGAUCAACAUGCCCUCUUGUGUACCUCCAUCAGGAAGAUUUCCCAAUGAAGCAUCGCUGAAUACAGUUAGGUUUAAGGCAGUAUCAUUUCCCAAAUGUUGACAUUUUAAAGUCACUUUUUCAGCUUUAAGUUUACGAGCUAACUUAUUAGCAUUGUGAAUUGAUUGCACAGUCGCAUUCUUUAGACUAGAGGCCAGACCACAAGAAUCAAACAUUACGUCAGGUCUUGUCUGUUUUGCAACCCAGAGUAUCUGUCCUAUUUUUGAUCUGAGUUGUUCUUUUUCUGUUUCAUUAAGAGGAGCAUCUCUUUCUGUAAGUGAAUGGGGUGCAGACUUUCAAUGUAGCUGUGCUGAUGCAACUCUACACAAUCAUUAACAGUUUCAAUAUCCAUUCCCAAAUAGCAGAAAUUGUCAUGUUCCUCACGUCCCACUCGGAACUCAGACUUCAGUUUAGGGAUGACAUUUUCUGAAAAGUUUGAUGAGCCUGCCCACAUAAAAUCAUCGACAUGACAUGCGAGUACACCUGUCACUGUGUUUUCAUCAUCCAGCCAAUAAAUACUGCUGGGUCUACCUGUGACACUUUACCACCUGUGCUCAGCAUGAUUUCCUUCACCUUGUUGUAUGAAUAGAGAGAUGCAUCAGCAAGCCCAUACACACACUUCUUUAGUUUCCAAAUAACCCCCUUACAGUUAGCUUCUGGAGGAAGGUGGACAAAUGUCUCUCGACAACUCCAUACCCUGUAAAAAGGCAGACUUAAUGUCCAUGGAAUGGACUUCCCAAUGAUUUUGACAAAUGACACUUAGCAAUAGUCUUAGAGAUUCAGAAGCACAGGUUGGUGAAUCUUUUUGUAGAUUUUUGAAAUGAAGUUCUUCAAACCCCCUUGCUACAAGUCUGGCUUUGGGUACAAUACCAGUGUCACUUUCUUUGAGACUACAGACCCACCUAGUGGAGAUACACUUUUGUCCUGUGUUUUCAAAAACAUUAUUGCUUUUCCAGCUUUCUAUCUCUGCCUGUUUGGCUGCAUCAAAUGAGAUGUCUUUUGUUAUGAGUACAUCAGCCUCCCCGACAGCUGACUCAGUGUUAAGAUGCUGUACACACCACAUGUCAACAGCCUCUUUUAGUCCAGUACUGCCAUCCGGCUCAAUAUGCUGCACAUUAUACCAGGUUUUAUAGCUUCCUGUUGCUUUACCUGCUCUACUGAGUACUUUAGCCCUACAUGUUACACUUGUAUCUCUUUUCACAAAAGUUACAAUCUGUCCCGUUUUUAACUUCACAUUAGAAGCAGGGAGAAGGUUAUCACAGGCACUGUGAUUCAUUUGAGGUGCAUCACUUUGAAUUACACCUUCACUUGUGUUUCCCUCUCCAUCACUGUCGUGUUCACUUUCACUGUCUGUGUUUUUUUCAUUAUCUGAGCCACAUGAUGGUAUGUGUAAAGCAUCUGUGUCACUAUCAGCGGUUAUGUUCUCUUCAUGUUUUUCACAUCCUGUUUCAGUGUGAACUUUACUUUGUGUCAUUUCCUUGUCUUUAAUCUGUGUGUGCACCUUAUUAAGUCGUGAAUGAUGAACUCUAACUAGAAUACCUCCAUGUCUUCCAAACACCAACAGCUCCAUCUUGACCAAUCACCACUCCUGGUCCCUUCCACUCUGCACUAUCUCCUCGUUUAUAGUAAACCUUUUCUCCUGUCUCAUAUUUUUCAUCUGUGUGUCUAAGCUGUUUUCUUAAUGCCCUUCUUAUCCUCUCUGAACAUUCAACUUCAGUGAAAGCCUUCCUUGAGGCAUGCAGAGCUGAUAUGUGUUCUCCUACUCUUGUGCUCACUCUAGUGCAGGUAGCUCAUUUACCAAUACAUUGGGAAGAUUAGGAUUUUGACCAAAUACCAGUUGAUGUGGACUAUAACCAUGUACACUGUGCAUGCAGUUCUUAGCCAUUAAGGCCCAGUCCAAGGCAGUACUCCAGUCACAAUCUUUUUCCUGUUUAACUUUCUGGAUGAUGUUCGUGAGUGUCUGAUUAUGACGUUCCAAAAGUCCGUUGCUCCAUGGGCUGUAUCCUGCGGUUGUCUUGAUCUCGAUAUUGAAGUUUUCUGCCAUGUCCAUGAACUCUUCAUUGUUAAAUUCUCCUCCGUUGUCACUGAAGAGCUUCUUUGGAGGACCAUGGACACUUAUCCAUGUGUGGAUGAAAGAGUUGACAAUUACAGAAGAUUUCUUGGUUUUCACAAUAUUUCCAGCGCUGAAACGUGUGAAAUGGUCCAUUAGAUGUAAAUACCAAAUGCCUGACUCAAGCUCGUGCAGGUCCACCGCCACAUUUUCAUUGUAUUCCGAAGCAAGAGGCAAACCAACAGCUAGCUCUGGCUUUGUCUUGCUAUAUCUUUGGCACGUGUGACAUGCAUCCACUAUUUGUUGCAAAAUAUUGAGACAGUCCUGGUCUUUGUUCCCUGAACUUUGAAUUAGCCUGUGCAGGCGAUCUGCUGAUGCAUGGCCAAAUUGUUUGAGGAGGACCUUGGUCUUCUCGAUUGUGGACAUGUUUUCUGUUACAAUCAGGACUUCAUCUUCAGCAAUUAAAUCUUGAAUCUGACAUUCCAUGUCACCUUUGUCUCUUAUGUCUAGACAGUAAUGUCCUGAGCUGGUAAACUGAAGAGGUAUCUGCUGCUCAAACAUCACUACCCUGUCGUUUUCUAUGUCUAACGUAGUUCCUGCCUUUUUUAAUGAUGUUUUACUCAGCAGGAGUGGAAUAUCGACUUUGACAACUUCUGUCUCAAUGUUACACUUUGUCCAUCCUAUUUUAGCAGGUAGAUGCACUUUUCUGGCGGAAUGAAUCACAUUUCCAUCUCCAAAACGAAACAUUCUGUUGCUAGACCUUUCUGUACUUCUUAGCUUAUUUACCUGCUUUUAAUUGGGAUUUUAUACAAAACUUUCAAGCCACUUUUCGCCACACACUGUGCGAGUGCAGGCGGUGUCUAUGAUCGCUGAGCUUGCUGCUUCAGUCAUAAAAAUCUCAGCUUUAGACUGGGGAUCAUUCGUUAACAGCGUGAUAUUAACUUCAUCCAAAUUGUCAUUUUCAGUCAAUCUUACUUGUUCGUGCUUUUUGUGCGGGCAGUCCUUUGCCCAGUGGCAUGUGCUUUGACAGACGGCACAUCGUGAUCGUUUACCGUACUUAUCCAGUGGGUUUGUACCCGGUAACGGCGUCACCGAUCUUCGUUGACCACGUGGAAACGGUGUGUUUGGUCUUCCUCUCCAUUGUGGCUGUUCUGUGAGGAAAGCUGUGUCCUGGUUCAGUUGUAUCUCGCUUGACUUGCCCGUUGUUUUACCUCCGAAUAUCCGUUUGAGAGCGGACUUCAUUGACGAGAAGCUUAGCUCCGUGUUAGCCCUCAGUGCUAGCUGCCUGUCUUUCUCAUCGAGGCAGGCUGUGUCAAGAAGUUUGAAGGCUAACACCCCAUCAGCGCUGUUCAAAGUCAAUAAUAUAGUCCACCAUUGAAACGGAAAUAUUUUUGGUGAUGCGGUCGAAGUACGUGUACGCUUCGUAUGCGCGAUCCUUUUCCUCUUUCAGCAAAACGUCAUCCAGUUUUGCAAAUAAUGUCGUCAUACCGUUGUCAUUGUCCAACUCCUCCGCAGAUAUCUCCAUUGCCAUUUCUCUGGCUCUCCCUUCAAGUCCCAAAGCCACAGCCAGUGCUUGCUUUUUCUUAUUGAGUUCUGUAACGCGCAUCCAAAUGUUAACUUCAUUUUUCCAGCACUCGUAUGGCUUGGACUCGUCAAACCUCGGCGGUAUUUUAUAGUUUGCAGCCAUCCUCAACCAUCCUCUGCUACCAAUGUUAAAUAUGGGUGAAUAAACACGACGCCUAUUCUGAUUCACAACUUUUAAUCAACUGCUGCACAGAGGAAAAACACUUUUUCCUUCCCGCCCAUCAACACUGCGCAUGCGUUAACCCAGUAUACGGAGAAACAUGUUAACAGUGGUAGUAUUAUGCUCUGGGCCUGUUUUGCAGCCAAUAAAACUGGUGAUUUAAAUGGGACAAUGAAAAAGGAGGAUUAGCUCCAAAUUCUUCAGGACAAGCUAACAUCAUCAACCCGGAGGUUGGGUCUUGGGCGCUUUUGGAUGUUCCAACAGGACAAUGACCCCAAACACACCUCAAAAGUGGCAAAGGAAUGGCUAAAUCAGGCAAGAAUUAAGGUUUUAGAAUGGCCUUCCCAAAGUCCUGACUUAUACGUGUGGACAAUGCUGAAAAGUCCAUGUCAGAAAACCAACACAUUUAGCUGAACUACACUAAUUUUGUCAAAAGGAGGGGUCAGAAACUCAAAAACCAAAAGCGCCUUAUUGCAGUGAAACUUGCCAAGGGUCAUGUAAGCAAAUAUUAACAUUGCUGUAUGUACACUUUUGACCCAGCACAUUUGCUCACAUGUACAGUAGACCCACAAUAAAUUCAUAAAAGAAGCAAACUUCAUGAAUGUUUUUUGUGAGCAACAAGUAUGUGCUCCAAUCACUACAUCACAAAAAAAAAAAGAGUCGUACAAAUGAUUGGAAACUGAAGUCAGCCAUGACAUGAUGUUCUUUACAGGUGUAUGUAAACUUUUGACCUGACUAAGACACUGGAGGGCUGCUUGCACAUGAGCCUUGAAGCCAAGCUGAACCUGUUUGGAGACUUAGUCUUAGACUAGUCAGGAAGUAGAAGAGCAGAAUUCCCAGCUGCAAAGAUGUGAUAUGAGUGAAGAUGGACUUCCUUCACCAGAGUGAGGUGUGGGCUUAGCAUGAGCAGCGUAAGCAGCUCACGGUGCGUUUUGUGCUCCGCCAGCUGGUGACGGUGGUAACCAGCUCUCAGAGAGACGUGAAGGCUGAAGGCUGAAGGCUGAGUGACACACAGCACAGAUGCUUUGUGCACUGGAACACAGAGAGAUGUCUCCAUCGCUGAGGGACCUCAUCACACUUGGACUUUUCUUUCACAUCUGCACUAAUUGCUCCUCAUCUUACACCAUGUCUUCUUUGGCUGUUUGUGGCUGACAAAACACCUUCAAUCUGCAUUUGUCAACAAUAUUUUAUCAGAUGUUGAUCUUUGUGUCCAUGUAGUUGUGAUGUCAUCAUUUGGGGCUCAUGUGUCAUCACAUUGACAAGGAUUUCUUCUUUCCUUUUCAAACCAAUAGACAGCUGCUUAUCAGUGAAUAUCACCUUGUGUCGCAUCUCAUCAUUAUUUUUAACAAUAUUUUGGAACAAUAGUACCAUUUUUAACUACUUCCGUAUGCUAAUAUUAAUUGUUUUUGAUGUAACAUUUAAGAAUGAUGAUUAUGAGAACUGCUGUCCAGUUGUUUUAUCUUCUUUUCUGAUGACAUUAGUCUCAUUUGCAAUGCAGUUGCACUUCCAAGACCAUUAGAUGGCAGCACUGUAUAACUAUUUAUGCUAUGUUGUCAAACUAGAAAGUAGCUUUUUUUUUCAGGAAAUUAACUUUUUAGGUUGCGCCCUACAAAGUGUCAAUACUGUAAGAAUAGUUAUUACACAAAAUUGUAAAAUUCGAACUAUAAUCUUAGUUGUUUCCUUUACCAAAUUCCAAGGUGUUGAAAUCGCCAUGUAAAAUCCUUCAUGUAAAUAGUAGCCUGUCUUUGGCAAAUCCUAUGUAAAUUAGCAAUAAGCUAGCGCAUUUUGGAAGAGUGUCGCAUUACUUUAUGUUUGCGCUGUUUUUUUAUUAAGCACUGUGUUGGUGUUGAAAAUGGCAACAUGACUUAGAGGGAGUUUGGCUGAGUCCGGCCUGAGUGCUGCUUGAGUGAUUGUUUACCUGAGCCCGUGUUUAGUCUGAAAGCAGACAUGACGUCACAUGCAACAAAGGUAUCCAACUUGAUUUUACAUAAUUGAUAGUACUGAGGGAAUCGGGUCAUCACCUACAAAAGUACAGAAUUGGGUAGCCAACCUUACUAGUUAGUGUGACGGAGGGGGACAGUGACACAACAUUUUUAUGACAAAGCAUUGUCAAAUAUUUAUAUUUUUGAAACAAUUUGCUGUUUUUUCCGUUCCUUUUUGCAUAAUCAUAUUUUUGCUUGAUUGCCAAACAUGCCGAGGAUGUCAUUUGGGAAGUAAACAAGGUAGGCCGUUCAUAUACUCUUGAUAUUCAGUGUUUUAUGUGUACAAUGUUUCAUGUACAUUCUGGGGGUUUUAUUCAGUAAAAACUUGUCAAAUACAAUUUCUGUUUUGGAGGUGCUUUGUCAUUACACACAUGAUAACACUUUUAGCUUGCAGUCAUGCAAAACAAGUAUUAAAUGAUCUUAAGCCUUUACCAUGUCUGAAAAGUGACAAUUUGAAAUAUUUUGUCAAUUGUCAACAGAAAGAAUGAAUGGCAGAGCUCUUUAUUAAAACACAAUAUUUAAUGGAAAUGACUGCAAAUUUAAGAGAGUAAAAUAACGUAAUUCACCUGUUCUUCUGUUGAUGCUAGUAGUGGAAUGGUAUACACAUCUGCUGUGUGUGACAGUGGGUGUGAGUACGAUUCCCGGUCAGGAUGGGAAGGUAAACAUUGAUCUGAAUCAUCAUGAUUGUUGUGCUGUGGCGACCUCUCAUGGGAAAAAAUGAAAGACAUUUACUGAUUUAAUUCUAUUAAUUGUAUUAUUUUGCACUCCAACAUUAAUUAUUUGGUCAUGUUUUUAUUACAAUGUGAUCUUAUUACUCCGAGACGUGUGUAAUGAAAUACAGGUUUCAGUCAAAUAGUAAAACAUGUUUUUCACAAUGUCAGGUUCAAACAUCGAUGACAUCUAUUAAACAAGACAAGAAGCAAGGAAAUAGAGACGGAAUUCAAUUUUGCUCGGUUUGAGGAGAAACAUGUCGACCUGUAACCUCUUACAGUGUCACCCACGCGCUCACGGAAAAAUGUUCACGUCUCCUCUUUUAUUUGGAUAUUCCCUGUUUACAUAACAGCAGCUGUUUCUAAAGGAAUGGGGGUAUGUAAACAGCCAUUGUUUUCGGUCACAUUAACACAAAAGAAAAAGAUACCUCAGGCUUGUACUGGUCCUGGAUCGAGCUUGGGCAAGUCUUGGAUCACAAUAGCUAACCCUUCCCGUCUCUUCCCAUCGUACACAGUGGUAUUUUCCAAGCCUUUGGAUUAUUGCAACAAAGACAGCUUCCGUCUGUUCACUGGGAACUCAGAGAACGGAAAGUUUUUUUGAUAAUUUACAUACAAUAUUUCUGACACACAUAAAUAAAGAAGGCAAAAACAAGCAAACAAACAGAAAAAUCACCAUGCCAGUAGAGAUGAAGACAAUCUGCCAACAAAAUGUCUCCUACUUAUUUUUUCUGAGAGUUGUCAAGCCUGCGUGUGAUGGAUAUGGCCUGCCAGUUAAAAAGUUUGCCCAAGUUAUUCUAGUCACUUAUGCACAGAUGAGAUGUGUCAGUAACAAAAUAUUACUUUGCAUCACUUUUUGGCAACCAACAAUUCAUUGAUUGAAUUAAUACAUCCAAACACUUUAUUGAUAUGUAUGAUGUGCAUGAACAAAAAACAGUUGAUGUUGUAUGUAGCUUAUAAACAAGGAAGAGGUUUGUAACACAUCAACAAGUCCUUUAAAGUCUCAUUACUGUCACAGAAUUGGACAAAUCUUUGACUUUUCCAACCUAGCAAAGGCUUUAGAUCAUGCUACUUUUGUUGAACAAAUGUUUUGCAGGUACAAUAGUCUAGAUAAACCUGCUUUCAAAUCAACUUUAAAGAGACCUUAUCUUUUAUACUUUCUAUUUGAGUGGACUAAAUGUACUGUCAUUUUAGCUGACUAAAAUGUUGUGUGAUGUGGUUGACUUAAACUAAAUCGAUUUAGAUUUAGCAGAGAGAAACUAUUGUUAGUCACCUUGAGACUCUCCCUGAAACCUAAUAAUCAGGUGAUAAAUCUGGUAGUAAUAAUGGACUCAGACUUGAACUUUAACAGCCGCAUGAAGUCGAUAACAUCAGCAGCUUUUACCACCUGAAACACUUUGCCAACAUCAGAGGAAUAAUGUCUGAAUCAGACUUGGAGAGACUAAGUCUUUGUCUCCAGCAGUUUGGACUACUGUAAUGCUCUUUUCACUUGGCUCUUUAAACCAGCUGUAAAGCAACUGCAGUACACCCAGAAUGCUGCUGCUCAAGUCCUGACUAGAACUAGGAAAUAUGAUCAUAUCAGUCCAUAUCAGUCCUGGCUUCCUGUAGCUACUCAGCUUUCCUUGUGUACAAGUCCUUUCAUGGUCUUGUGCCAAAGUACAUCUCUGACAUGUUAGCUCUGAGAACCUUGUUUUAUGAGGAUUAUUCUUCUUUUAUUUUGAAGUAUUUUCCAUGGUUACUUCCAUUUUAUUGUUGCCUUCUUGUCAUUUUCUGUACAGCACUUUGAAUUGUGCUCUAUAAAUAAACUGGCCUUCCCUAAUUGUUUUCAGAAUAAAACACUUAUUUCCA